GCCUGGGUGGCUCAGUUGGUUGAGCGCCUGACUUCGGCUCAGGUCAUGAUCUCAUGGCUCUUGGGUUCGUGCCCUGCGUCGGGCU
rfam:Felis catus isolate Cinnamon breed Abyssinian chromosome C1, whole genome shotgun sequence.